GCAAGUCGAACGCUAUCUUUGAUAGAGUGGCGCACGGGUGAGUAACGCGUGGGAACCUGCCUUUCACUGCGGGACAACGGUUGGAAACGACCGCUAAUACCGCAUACGCCCUACGGGGGAAAGAUUUAUCGGUGAAAGAGGGGCCCGCGUCUGAUUAGCUUGUUGGUAGGGUAAUGGCCUACCAAGCCUACGAUCUAUAGCUGGUUUGAGAGGAUGAUC
rnacentral:rRNA from 1 species